CGAAAAACGUGUACACACACGACGAGUCGAUUUUGCCGUGCUUGGGAAACAUACUAAAGGUGACCAUGACGGAAGCAGAACUGUUGUCUCAGGAGAAGAAGAAGAAGAA